rnacentral:rRNA from 1 species
CCUACGGGUGGCAGCAGUGAGGAAUAUUGGUCAAUGGGCGGAAGCCUGAACCAGCCAAGUAGCGUGCAGGAUGACGGCCCUACGGGUUGUAAACUGCUGUUAUACGGGAAUAACGCGCCUUACGUGUAGGGCUUUGCAUGUCACGUAUGAAUAAGGACCGGCUAAUUCCGUGCCAGCAGCCGCGGUAAUACGGAAGGUCCGGGCGGUAACCGGAUUUAUUGGGUUUAAAGGGAGAGUAGGCCGCAUGUCAAGCGUGCUGUGAAAUGUCCGGGCUCAAACCGGGCCUUGCAGCGCUAACUGGCGUGCUUGAGUCCGCGGAAAGCAGGCGGAAUUCGUCGUGUAGCGGUG